CAGCCACUUUGCCCAUCAGCAGUUACUGCAGUCAAUGUGCAGGCUGACAAAGUCAGGUGCUCAUCAGCUUGUGUGAAAAGCUGCAGAGCUGACCAAACAAGCAUGUGUUGGAUGAAUUUUUUCCAUUUAUAUGAGUGGGAAAAAUGACCCACAGCAAAGAAACCUGAUCUCCUCACAGACAUAAGACUGUCUACACUGAUGAGGCCAACUAAGCCUGCCCGGGAUGGUGCCGACGGGGAACGUCAUGAUCCGGUUUCCCCCAACCUUCCUCCAAAGAGCUGCAGCCUGGACGGGCUUUUGGUGAAGAAAGGCAUCAUCUACAGAUCAGGCUUCCCUGGGCGAUGGAUGGAUGCAGCCGACGUUCCGGGAAGUCACUCCUCACUGGUCUGGCUGGGCAGCUUUCCUUAACUGCAACCUCUGACAUGUUUCUUGGGCUUCUUUUGUUUUGGCAUCUACGCUGAUGUUCAUGUUUCAGAGUGAAAUGACUUCUAAGUAGAAUCGAAGGGUGAACUUGAAGACUGCUGAUUUCAAACAGAAGGCUCUCUCCAUGAAGCAUAAGUGGAUUUCAUAAUUAGGAGAAAAGUGCUAUUUUCAAAAUAAAAGCAAACAAAAAAUACACCCUGACUUCUUUUUCUUGCCACUGAGAAGACUUGGCUUUGCUGAAAUUAAGAUUAUUGAAGGAAAGAGGAGUAGAAAUCUUUUCGGUGGAGGCUGGCUGGGUCUGCUUCUGGGUUUGGAAGGCUGAACGUACCUCGGGCCAGUUCUGUUAUUUGGUCUGGCCGUCGUGAAUAGACGUUUCUUAUCGUCCUCUGGAUUCCUCAGAUUACCGCCCUUUGAGAGUGGUUUGUAACAGUUCGGCCACUCGACCCAUUCGAAGGUAUCGGAUUUAGUAGAUUUGCUGUUUGACUUAGAUCAAAGGGUCUAUAAUUGGUGAGCAGCUUCACCUGGCAGUUCCUGGGCCAUUGGAAGAUGAAGCUCCCUAUCGGUUUUUUCCCCUGCUUGCUUAGACAAAAGGCUUUUUGUUCCUGUAUAAAUCUUUCACGCUACGCUCGCGGCAGUCGUGACAAGGAAUACUGAAAUUUAGUAAAAUGCUCACACCGGGCCACAGAGAGGAGGGUGUGGAAAUGGUGUCUAUAACAGCAGUUGGCAUGGUGCCAGGGAAAGACAGCUGGAGAUGACGACGAGCACUUGUGGAACUGCUUUCGAGGUGACCGUGCCCUGGACUGGCUGGAGAACGCGCCAGGGUGCGGCAGGGAGGCAGGAGGCCUGGAGGGUUCCGCGCAUGCUUUACUGCAAUCCUGCAUUUGGAAGUGGUGACUGUGAAGGGGGAGAUGGCAGUUGAAUGAUCGGGCUAAGACAUCUGAGCCCUUAAAACCAAAUUUCCCUGGGAGACAAAAAUCCCAGAUCAAACAAGAGCUACCUUCCAUGAAAAAAAAAAUUUCCCAUGAAACAUGGGACUCUGUUUGUCCAGGCUGUGCUAAGCUUCCCUACAGGCAUAUAUGGAGUGUCUUUAAAUGUGGGGGAACAGGCUGGGCGUGUGGCUCACAUCUCUAAUCCCAGCACUUUGGGAGGCCAAGGCGGGUGGAGUUCGAGACCAGCCUGGUCACCAUGGCAAGACCCCAGCUCUACUAAAAAUACAAAAAAUUAGCCAAGCAUAGUGACCCCAUCUCUACUAAAAAUACAAAACAUUAACCAGGUGUGGUGGUGCCGGCUGUAGUCCCAGCUACUCAGGAGGCUGAGGUGGGAGGACGGCUUGAGCCUGGGAAGUGGAGGUUGCAGUGAGCCAAGGUCAUGCCACUGCACUCCAGCCUGUGUGACAAAGCCAGACCUUGUAUCAAACAAACAAAAUCAGUCGAGAACAGACUCCACCUUAUGGGACAGCGGCACAUCUGAAAGUUCAAAACAAUUCCCCGAGGACUUUACCUCACAAUCUCAUUGGAAAGGCUGUGUCUACGGCGCCCUGGGAGAGACUCAGCAGCAGACAGGGUCUCCGGAGCACAAGACACGAGGAAGAGUGAAUGAGGCUCCACCAGGAAGACACAAGCACAGCCGAAGCACAAGACAAGCGCACGUGCGUGCCCACCUGUGUAGCUCGCAGGAGAGCAAGUGCUUUCCCAGGAUGGGAGCGAGGAGUCCUCAGUGCACCAGCGAGUGACUGUGAACCACUCACAGCAGCAUGAAGAGGAAACUCUGAGUCCUUGAGAAAUGUCUGAGCAUCCGUGAGGAAGUAUUCCUGGCUGGAUCUCGCUGACUGCUUUAGCGUUCUCUGUUAGUGUCUCUUCAGCACUGCAGGACUCUGUUCCUUUCUUUUUUCACCCUAUAUAAAACACGACCUGCAUUUUCUUCUUCUUUUUCUUUUCGCCGAGGCUGGAGUGCAGUGGUGUGAUCUUGGCUGACUGUGGCCUUAACCUCUGGGGCUCAAGUGAUCCUUCUACCUCAGCCUCCUGAGUAGCUGGGACUACAGGUGCGUGCCACCACACCUGGCUAAUUUUUAUUUUGUUUUUUUUUACUUUUUGAAGAGAUGGGGACUCACUAUGUUGCCCAGGCUGUUCUCAAACUCCUGGACUCAAGCAAUCCUCCUGCUUUUGCCUCCCAAAGUGCUGGGAUUACAGGCAUGAACUACUGUACCUGGCCUGAUCUGCAUUUUCUGGGAGUGUUUUGUUCUCUGCUAUCUCGAUCCCAGGUCCUUGAUCUUGUGCCUGAAGUCAUGGAUGGGCAUCAUGAGAUUGAAGAAUUCCCAGAAAUUCAGUGUCACAUUGUGUGUGCAUGUAUGUGACUCUCGGAGGAGCCCCUCACUCAAAACAUGUUGAGCCGCUAGUGUGGAUGCUGUGCUUGCUCAAAAGAAAAAUCUCCUCUUUAAUUUCCUUGUACUAAGAUCUAACCUCCAUUUGUUCAGAAAUUACCGGGCUCCAUGCCUGGUGCUUUAACAUGUGUUCUUUCAUUCAGUCUCCACCCAACCUAGACAGCGUUCAUAAUGUCAUCUCCAUUUGACUUCAAAGGCACCGUGCUCACAAUGGUGAAGUGACUUAUCCAGGAUGUCACCACUAAUAAGUGUCAGAGCUGUGUUGAGAUUUGGGCCUCUCUCUCCCCUAGAUGUAAGGCCUGGUCUUCUCCAGAGCUUGGUACAAAGGCAGGCAUGGCCCAGGGCUCUCAACACAGUCAGUGGUAAAAAUCCACAGGUUGCGUGGCAGCGUGUGAAGGGGAUCAUUGAAGGAUGGGUCACGGAACCCAGGAAGGGAGCUCAUCUCUGUGGGCUUCAUGAAAACCUCACACCCUGAAGGACCUAAUCCUGCCCCCUCUCAUAUUCAAAGGAUCCCUAAUGGAACAGCAACUUAAAAAGAUAGCUCCUCAUGUUAUUCGGCCUUAAAAAAGGAAGGAAAUUCUGACACAUGCUACAACACGGAUGAACCUUGCGGACAUUGCACUAAGUGAAAUAAGCUGGUCACCAAAGGAUAAAUACCAAAUGAUCCCACUUAUCUGAGUCAGACUCACAGAGAAGAAAGAAUGCUGGUUGCCAGGACCCGGGGGGCAGAGGGAGCUGGGGAGAUGCUGCUUAAUGAGUGCAGAGUUUCAUUUUACAAAGUGAAUAGUUCUAGAGAUUGGAUGCACCACAACGUGUGUGUACUAAACACUACUGGACUGUACCCAUGAAAAUAGGAUGGUAAGUUUUAUGUGUAUUUUACCACAAAUAAAAAUGGAUAUUUAAAAACAA